rnacentral:rRNA from 1 species
UUGUCUUUUAAAUAAAGACCAGUAUGAAUGGCAAGACGAAAGUUCAACUGUCUCCCUAAAUUAAUCAAUGAAAUUGAUCUUCCCGUGCAGAAGCGGGAAUAUAAAUAUAAGACGAGAAGACCCUAUGGAGCUUUAAAUAUAUGGUCAAUUGUAUAUUACAUAAACCAAAAGGUAAAAUAUUAAAUAAAACAUAGUGAUCAAAAUUUUAGGUUGGGGCGACCACGGAGAAAAACAAAACCUCCGAGAUGAAAAAAUAUCUUAACUUAUGAACUACAGUUCUAAAAAAUAAAAUAUUUAACAUAAUUGAUCCAAUAUAUUGAUCAACGAACCAAGUUACCCUAGGGAUAACAGCGCAAUCCUUUCCAAGAGUUCCUAUCGACGAAUGGGUUUACGACCUCGAUGUUGGAUCAGGACACCCCGAUGGUGUAGCCGCUAUUAAAGGUUCGUUUGUUCAACGAUUAAAGU